rnacentral:rRNA from 1 species
CAGCAGCCGCGGGAAUACGAAGGGUGCAAGCGUUACUCGGAAUUACUGGGCGUAAAGCGUGCGUAGGUGGUGGCUUAAGUCCGUUGUGAAAGCCCUGGGCUCAACCUGGGAAUUGCAGUGGAUACUGGCUCGCUAGAGUGUGUCAGAGGAUGGUGGAAUUCCCGGUGUAGCGGUGAAAUGCGUAGAGAUCGGGAGGAACAUCAGUGGCGAAGGCGGCCAUCUGGGACAACACUGACGCUGAGGCACGAAAGCGUGGGGAGCAAACAGGAUUAGAUACCCCCGUAGUCCCUGUCUCUUAUAC